GCAAGUAGGGGGGAGGGGGAAAGGAGUGGGAAGUGAGUCCCUCAAAUCAGCGAUUUUUGAAGGAGACUUACACUACGUAGAAGAAGGGAGUAAAGGAUAGGGCGGUGAAGGAGAACAUGAAUUGGCCUCUUAGGAAAAACAAGUCGACUGGCCUUGACUGUGAAAAAAAAAUCCCAGUUUUAAGUUCAUCCUUGGGCUUCGUAUGAAGCCACCUUCCUUCAUUGUUAACAGCUGUGUGGGCUGUUUGCUUGUUUGGUUUUUGCAGUGUUUGACAAUGUUGCUGGAGCCCUUCCUCUAUCCUCAGGUCUUCUCAGUUAGCUUUCCUGACAUCACUCUCUCCUGGUUCCUCUAUCAUCUUAGCCAAGUCACCCUUGACAUUGGCAACUUAAAAAUUGUUUUGACUCAUGAUGUCUUCGGGCUUCCCUGGUGGCUCAGAUGGUAAAGAAUCUGCCCACAAUGUGGGAGAUCUGGGUUCCAUCCCUAGGUGGAGAAGAUCCCCUGGAGAAGGGAAUAGUUACCCACUCCAGUAUUCUUGCCUGGAACAUCCCAGGGACAGAGGAGCCUGGCGGCCUAGGGUCCAUAGGGUUGCGAAGAGUCCAGCUCGAAAGUGACUAAAACACAACAAGAUGCAUUUGUUACUACUAGGGUCCUUAAACUCUAUGAUUGUCACCAGCCAGGGUUCUUGGACUUCUUAAUCAGUAAAAACUGAUAAAAAGCCAGAUAAGAAAUUCAGACAAGGCUUUAUUGGCACCUGGGUUGCAACAGGAGGGAGCGAAAACAAGUAACAGGUGUCCUUGCUUGCUCCCUCCCUAAGUCAGCCCUGCCAAUAUUGUACCUCAGUCUUCAAGGAACACAGAACCAAAGACUUCGAGAAGAUCUGUCUACUCACAAACAUAACAGCUAUGGAAAGUCACUAAUUAAAAACUAGGUAAAUGCUGGGGACCAGCCCCGGCUGAUCCAGGGUAUUCGAAGCGGGGACGGUGUCGGCGACCUAUAUAUUUAAAUAUUUUAUCAAAGAUAUAAAGAGUAAUAGGAUGAGGAUAGGUCAGUAGGAAAAUUCAGUGGAGAAAAGAGGCUGAGUAGCUUGGUUUACCCGGGAGACCAAUAAAACUUCAAGACAAGAAGUUUGCACCACUUGCAUAGGCCGCAGGCGUCCUUCCGUUCUCCCGAAGGAGAGGAGACACUGAGGCCUCCCCGGUCGGAUCUUAGAAGCCCAGACAUAAUUAGCAAGCAUGGCGGGUUCUGCGCUCCAGAUGGAGACUCAGCCAGAAUUUGGGAGAGAGAGUGACAUGGGGAGACCAAGUUUCGGUGAUUAUUCCAAAGUCAGGCACCAGCCUCCAAAAAAGCACUGGACAAAGCUGCAUUCCUAUAGGGCAAAGGUGUAUUCUUUACUGCUGAACCAUCGGGAGUGCUGCUGCUGCUACUAAGUCACUUCAGUCAUGUCCAACUCUGUGCGACCCCAUAGACGGAAGCCCACCAGGCUCCCCCGUCCCUGGGAUUCUCCAGGCAAGAACACUGGAGUGGGUUGCCAUUUCCUUCUCCAGUGCAUGAAAGUGAAAAGUGAAAGUGAAGUCGCUCAGUCCUGUCUGACUUUUAGCGACCCCAUGGACUGCAGCCUACCAGGCUCCUCUGCCCAUGGGAUUUUCCAGGCAAGAGUACUGGAGUGGGGUGCCAUUGCCUUCUCCGGCCACCAGGAGUUACCUCUGGCCAAAUUCACUUAACAACUUCAUCUCUUUCCACUCCUCCUUGGCAUCCUAAUUUAUACCCUCAAUGAAAUAACAGGCCAUAAACCUUUGCAUCUGUGUUUUCCUAUAGAACUUUGUUUAUACUUUAACAUAAACGUUUCCUUUUUAUGUAUUCAUGUUCUUAGCCAGAUUAGGAACUUCAUGAUGACACAGACUAUGUCUUAAUUCAGGCAGUUAUAAAUGUGAACUAUACUUAUAUUGUUUUAAUUCCUGGGGGCCCUACAUAUAUUUAGUCUCUAAAAGUGGAACGUGUCAAGGCAAUAUAUAACAAAAGGAUUCCCUUGCCAAUGAGUUAGCUUUUAGUCUUUGAGAAAUAUGAUCAAAUUAAAAAGCCAUCAAGGACAUUAACUAAACUUGUGGUAAUCACCUCACAGUAUAUGCAUAUAUCAAAUCAUUGUGCUGCGCAUCUUAAACUUAUACAGUUUAAGUUUAAACUUAUAAGUCUUGGGGGAUAGAAAAAUCAGGAAAUUGCUAAAAAUACAUAAAAACCCAUCAAGUGAAUUAAAUAAAGUGUAUAUAUUUCAAUAUUUUUUUUGUCACACAUUUGCUAGGCAAACAAUUGCAUUUUAAAUAAGCAGCCAUCAAAAACACCAUCGCCUUUUGUAGCUACAUCAGUCUCUCCACUAGGUCUUUGACUAUGUGGAUCAC
ensembl:lncRNA